rnacentral:lncRNA from 1 species
UCGGUAAAACAUAAUAAUUCAUCGGAGCAGAAUAUUUUCAACAUUAAACAACUUCCUAUAAAUUCUGGCACAUGGCCUAAACAUAAAAUAUCUUUAAAGAUUUAAUCAAACACCAACAAGUUCAUAAUGAUACAUAAGGAAUGAUGAAUAUGACGACAAAUUAUCCUCUUCCCGUUACGUAUCAGAGCUCCUAAGACACACGUGAGGUAAAUCCACUCACAACAGCAAAUAACAGCAACUAUCAGCUACUACUCUGGAUCACCUGCAAGUUACCCAUAUGAAGGGCAACAUUUCCAAGCAGAAGGGGUGAGAUUCACAAACAAUAGUAAUAGAUAUAUAUAGAUUAUCAACUGUACUUAACAACUUAAUUCAAUAACAUAAUUAGCAACAUAUAUCCAAUAAUAAUGUUCAUACUUCUUCAAUUUUAAUAACACUUACUAAUCCAAUCAACAACGACGACACGACAAUAUUCAACAACAACUACCACAACUCACUCAACAACAACUACAACAUCUUACUCAACAAUAACUACAACAACUCACUCAACAACAUCUACAACAUCUUACUCAACAAACACCUAAAACAACAAGAUUCAACCAACAACUACAAUAUGCAUGUGGUGCAAUUUUCAAUGUGUUGAAUGACUAAGCAUUCCAGGGCAUAAGCCCUCAACAGUUGAAUGACAAAGCAUUCCAGGGCAUAAGCCCUCAACAGUUUUUGAGUUUACAAUGACCUCGACUUUGUGUAUAUCAACAUACAACUCUCCUACAACAACGACAACAACUCCUACUACACAACAAUGCAUAUUUAUUCAUGACUUACACCUCAACAUUGUCAAUUCGUGACACAACAACCUUUGCACAAUGGUAUUCAAAAUCUUGUAUAAUUUAUUUAAAUAUAAAUAUACAUCAAACAACAAACAACAAUCAAUCAUAUUCAUCAACAUAUACAUUCAUAUAAUAAUUCAUCAUUAUCCAAAAAUUAUAUAAUAAAUAAUAAUAACUUUUUAUCACUAUUAUUAUAAAAUUAAGAGAAAUCACACAUUACUAAUUGACGUAAUAAAUCAUAUGAUGCAUAUUAAUUACUGGAGCAAGAUCAAAAUGUCCUUUUAAAACUUUAAUUGGUUCCAGCACAUGUGAAUUUCAAUUCGGAUCAAUUGAUAUCAAAUAUUUAUUCUAAGUUAAAAGUAAGUCUAAGCCUAAAUUCAUUCAUAUUACUAGGCCAUGAAAAACAUAUACUUUGUCAGCCGCAACACCAAAAUAGAAAUUAUGAAUAUGAUUUCAUCUUUUAUUAGACUCAUAAACUAUAAUUCUAAAUGCUAUUUAUGCAUAAACCAAAGAGCACACUAAAUUCAUGAAGAAUAGACCAAUAGCAUUGAAAUUCUAGCACAAUACAUGGCAAUUUAACAAUAAGGAAAUAAAAUGAAAACUAAAAUUGAUUUCCGAUUUACGUACGAUACUGAAUUCAGCCCUAAAAGAAUAGCUCAAACAAAACUCAUAAACAUGAUGUAAAACAAAACCGAAUAGCACAUAUUGAAACAGAAGUAACCACAAAAACAUUAAAACAAAUCGAAGUCUAAAGAUAGCAAAACCACAUUAAUUAUUAUCCAAAAUCUAUAAUCAAUAUAUCAAAAUCACAGUAACGACAUAGAGCACAAAUUUAACAAGGAUUUCAUAGAACUCUUAACCCUAACCCCAAAUUCUAAAAUUAAUCAGAACCUUUGCUAAAACAGAAUCAUAAUUAUAUAGACUAUAACUAUUGAGAGUUAGCCUCACCCUUACCUUGAAUUGAUGAACAAGCUCUACGAAAAUCAGUUUCUCCCCUCUUGGCUCUCCUCUUGGUUUUUCUCCCAAAACUCUGUUGUACGUGAAAACUGCUUUUGACUUCUAUUUUUUAAUUUUCUCAAUAAAUAUAACUUCCCAAUAUUUAAUUAACUCCCACCUAAUUCACUUAAUUCUCAUUUAACCCCAAAACUCCAAUUAAAUCCUAAUUCUCACUUAUUCUAUUAAAUAAUAAAAAUAGUCAUUUAAUAAAAUACACCACACCACAAAAUCAACAUAAAUAAUUUAAAAUCAUAUAAAAUACUAAAAAUAAUAAAAUAACAAUUAGGGCGUUACACAGAAGCAAACAAACGAACUUCAAAGACAAAGAGAACAAUGAAUCAUUCCUUAACAAGAAAAGGACUCCUCUUUGACUAUGCAACGACAUUAUCCAAAUGAGGUAAAGAUUUCAAACUUGGAUCAACUUCUCAAGGAAGGUUCAAUGCCUUGACAUAUUUAAACACAACGAAUCUGUUUCAAAUCUCUCCUAUAUAAGGACAUCAACCGUUUGAAGAUAAUAAUUGACUUCAUACACUUAGAUAUAUUCAAAAGUUUCAUAUGUUAGAAUUUCUUAAGUUAUAGAAGUCAUUUGAACUUAAUUGUAGUUUACAACUCUUCGAGUACAGAGUGUAAACAUUUACAUACAUCAUUGUAAAACUCUGAUUUGUAGAAGUCCUCUUGUGUGAGGCAAGCAAGUCUCUGACUUGUGUCUUAGAGCAAUUGUAUUCUUGUGUGAUUAUAGUGUAAAUCCCUUGAAAUUGUAAGGGGACUGAACUAACCUCUGUUUGUCGGGUGAACUAGUAUAAUUGCUUGUGUUGUCUUCUCUCUCUCUGAUCCUCUAAAUCUCUUUACUCCUUAGUAUUGUUAAAACACUUUGAAAAUAUUUUCUGAAAAAACCAACACAAUUCAACCCCCCUUCUUUUGUUUUCUCACCUUUAGCUUGCAUCAGAGCACCUGGUCUAUUUCUUUACACUUAACAAUGUGACAACUAAAAGAUCCUACGAAAAAUAUGUCUUCUGAUAUUAUUGCCACUUCCAAUGACAAUUCUGGUAAUCAUGUUUUGAGUCAUGAUUACAACAACACCAACUCCACCUCUAAUAAAAACUUUUACUCAGCUAGACCUCCAUCUUUCAAUGGAGAUGUUGAAUAAUUUUGUUGACGAGGCUAAUUUUGUUGUUUCUCCAACAGUUGCUUGCGAUUGGAGGUUUAUAGCAUGCGUUGCAAUUUGGGUAAAAGCUGAAAUUUGGUUUAUAACAUGAUCUUGGCUGAGGUUGGUCUUGUGGUUUCAUGACUUUUCUUCUGGAUUCUUGAAUAAAAUUUCAUAUGACUAACUACUUCUACUCUUAAUUGACUCUAAAAGAUUAUUAGAAAUCCUAUAUAUUUUUUUUUUGUCAUUAGUGGUUAUAUGUAUUGUUUACCACAAAAGGUUAAGAGGCUUAAAGAAGCUCUUAAAGAUUGGAAUAGAACUACUUUCGAUAAUAUUCAUAAUAAUGUGAUUGUGGUCAUUUAUGAGGUCAAUCGAAUUAAUCAUAUUUUUCAUAGCCAUGAUAGGUGAUACCAAGUAGAAAAUGUCUAUUUUAUUUUUUUGAGUUUCGAACUCAAUUAUUUUGUAAAAUUAUUGGUUGUGAAUACUAUUUUAGAAAUUGUAGGUUUUGAAAAGCAAAAAAAAUCCAAUAUUCUCUUAGUUUGUGAAUAUCUCGAUAUUAAGAAUGUUUGCUAAAUAAACCUGUUCACUUUGACUCAAAGAGAUUUUAAAAG